AUGGUGGAUACAAGUCUGUUUGGAAGCCCUGAAAGAGCCAUGUGUCUGCCCAAGGUGCUGGGACAUGAUGCCUGCCAAGCCCAGAAGUCUUGUUGGCUGCUCAGGUGUUAUUGAACACUGAUGCUGUGUGGUGUGCCGGUGUCUGCGUGUCUCUGUGGAGCUGCUGAGUACAGGGACUCUCCCUGUCUUUUCCUCUUUGACCAGCCAUACAUUUUAUGUAAAACAUGAAACUCCAAGGACAUUCUCUCCUCCUUUACAAAGUUGUAAAUAGUGAUGGAGACCUGGUGUGAGAUGGCAGCAUGGCUGACUGCAGACUUGCCAAGCUGUGUGUGGCUAUCCCACCAACUCUUACCAUUUCCCAGUAGGCAGUGCUCUCUGUCUAGUGACAUUUCCAACAACUCUCAGAAUUGUUGGUGUGGGCAUUUGUGGGCUGAGACAGAGUUCACUGGCUACCUCUGAUGGAGAGGUGGACACCCAUUCCUGGUUGUCAUUCAAAUGGGCUUAAAUUAAGGUAAAAAUAAGGCUUGGGUUUUCUUUCUCUUUGCCUUGUUCCUCAUCUUAACAGUCUGUCAAGGAAAAGAGUGGUUUUGUUCCAUGGUACACUUGUUUGCUCUCAUGAGGCCCCAUGUUGGUCAGGUUGCUAUCUCUUGGCUCUGGUGAUCUGUCCAGCUGGAUUCAGGGUCCUCCAGUCUGGGGCUUAUGGUGCUCCUUGUGGCAGUCAGUGUCUGGGCUGCCCUUUUCCUAGGCUGGUGUUCUUGAGGAGUCCUGGCAAAUUGAGUUGGAAACCUGUUGCUAGAUCUGGUUCUCAGUUUUCCCUGCUGAUUCUCAGCAGAGGGAGCAACGUAGCACUGUAAUGCUCCUCUCUCUACAAUCUAUGCACAUGUAGAAAGUAUCUUCAGCAUCCUAUGCUGGGGCCAGAGCAGUGUAGUCAUGGGAAAGGAUAUCAGCAUGCCCCAUAGCAGCCCAUCUUCCCUCGCAGCUUUAACUCCUAGUCUAGCCCUGCAGGGUCUAUUCACUCACCCUUUCCAUUGCCUGCUCAGGGUGCUCUAGAGGCCUGUUCCCUCUGUCACAGUCUGCAGGAGCAUUCUGUUGAUACCUAUAUCCAGGCUGUUGCUUUGACUUAAAUACAAACUAAAAUAAACUGAUGAGAACACCCCAUUGCAAGAGCUGGAGCUGAAUGGAGUUAGAGCUUAGUUGGUAGAGUGCUUGCUAAUACACACAAAUCCCUUGAUUCCAGUCCAAGUGCCCUGAAAACUGAGAGGAGUGCUACAGGCCUGUAAUCAUAGCACUUGGGAGGAUCAGAAGUUCAAGGUCAUCAGCUAUUUAGUUCAAGGCCAGCCUGGUCUACAUGAUACACUGUCUUAAAAAGCAAUAAUAAAGACUAUACUUUAUACUCCGUUCCUUCUUAGAAGAGGGAACACAGUACCCAUGGAAGGAGUUACAGAGACAAAGUUCGGAGCAGAGCCUGAAGGAAGGACCAUCCAGAGACUGCCCCACAUGGGGAUCCACUGCAUAAACAACCACCAAACCCAGACACUAGACAGAUGCCAACAAGAGCCUACAUACAGGAGGCUGAUAUAGCUGUCUCCUGCGAGGCUCUGCCAGUCCCUGGCAAAUACAGAAGUGGAUGCUCACAGCCAUCCAUUGGUCGGAGCACAAGGUCCCCAAUGAAGGAGCCAGAGAAAUACCCAGGGAGUUGAAGGGGACUGAAGCCCCAUAGAAGGAACAUCAGUAUGAACUAACCAGUACCCCCAGAGCUCCUUGGAACUAUACCACCAAUCAAAGAAAACACAUGGUGGAACUUGUGGCUCUAGCUAUAUAUGUAGCAGAGGAUGUCCUAGUUGGUCAUCAAUGGGAGGAGAGACCCUUGAUCCUGUGAAGGCUCUAUGCCCCAGUGUAGGGGAAUGCCAGGACCAGGAAUGGGAGUGGGUGGGUUGGGGAGCAGGGGGAGGGGAGAGGUGAUAGGUGGUUUUCAGAGGGGAAACUAGGAAAGGGGAUAACAUUUGAAAUGUAAAUAAAAUAUCUAAUAAAAAAAAAUUAUGACUAACACACACACACC
rnacentral:lncRNA from 1 species